UACGAAGGGUGCUAGCGUUGUUCGGAAUUACUGGGCGUAAAGCGUGCGUAGGUGGCUUAUCAAGUCAGAGGUGAAAGCCUGGAGCUCAACUCCAGAACUGCCUUUGAAACUGAUAAGCUAGAGUCUUGGAGGGGAUAGCGGAAUUGCUAAUGUAGAGGUGAAAUUCGUAGAUAUUAGCAGGAACACCGGUGGCGAAGGCGGCUAUCUGGACAAGCACUGACACUCUGGCACGAAAGCGCGGGGAUCAAAC
rnacentral:rRNA from 1 species